rnacentral:rRNA from 1 species
CCUACGGGAGGCAGCAGUGAGGAAUAUUGGACAAUGGGCGCAAGCCUGAUCCAGCCAUGCCGCGUGCAGGAAGACGGUCCUAUGGAUUGUAAACUGCUUUUAUACAGGAAGAAACACCUCUACGUGUAGAGACUUGACGGUACUGUAUGAAUAAGCAUCGGCUAACUCCGUGCCAGCAGCCGCGGUAAUACGGAGGAUGCGAGCGUUAUCCGGAAUCAUUGGGUUUAAAGGGUCCGUAGGCGGUUUAAUAAGUCAGUGGUGAAAGCCCAUCGCUCAACGAUGGAACGGCCAUUGAUACUGUUAAACUUGAAUUAUUAGGAAGUAACUAGAAUAUGUAGUGUAGCGGUGAAAUGCUUAGAGAUUACAUGGAAUACCAAUUGCGAAGGCAGGUUACUACUAAUAUAUUGACGCUGAUGGACGAAAGCGUGGGGAGCGAACAGGAUUAGAUACCCUGGUAGUCCACGCCGUAAACGAUGGAUACUAGCUGUUCGGAGCAAUCUGAGUGCGUAGACGAAGUAGAGUAAGUAUACCACCGUCGGGAGGUACGGUUCGCGAGAAGUAGAACGUACGAAAGGAAAGUUAGUACGGACGUAGAGACGUUGCCGACGGACGACGACGAGGGAGGAGGG